CAUGCAAGUCGAGGGGAAACGACAUCGAAAGCUUGCUUUUGAUGGGCGUCGACCGGCGCACGGGUGAGUAACGCGUAUCCAACCUGCCCACCACUUGGGGAUAACCUUGCGAAAGUAAGACUAAUACCCAAUGACGUCUCUAGAAGACAUCUGAAGGAGAUUAAAGAUUUAUCGGUGAUGGAUGGGGAUGCGUCUGAUUAGCUUGUUGGCGGGGUAACGGCCCACCAAGGCGACGAUCAGUAGGGGUUCUGAGAGGAAGGUCCCCCACAUUGGAACUGAGACACGGUCCAAACUCCUACGGGAGGCAGCAGUGAGGAAUAUUGGUCAAUGGACGAGAGUCUGAACCAGCCAAGUAGCGUGCAGGAUGACGGCCCUAUGGGUUGUAAACUGCUUUUAUAAGGGAAUAAAGUGAGUCUCGUGAGACUUUUUGCAUGUACCUUAUGAAUAAGGACCGGCUAAUUCCGUGCCAGCAGCCGCGGUAAUACGGAAGGUCCGGGCGUUAUCCGGAUUUAUUGGGUUUAAAGGGAGCGUAGGCCGGAGAUUAAGCGUGUUGUGAAAUGUAGGUGCUCAACAUCUGCACUGCAGCGCGAACUGGUUUCCUUGAGUACGCACAAAGUGGGCGGAAUUCGUGGUGUAGCGGUGAAAUGCUUAGAUAUCACGAAGAACUCCGAUUGCGAAGGCAGCUCACUGGAGCGCAACUGACGCUGAAGCUCGAAAGUGCGGGUAUCGAACAGGAUUAGAUACCCUGGUAGUCCGCACGGUAAACGAUGGAUGCCCGCUGUUGGUCUGAAUAGGUCAGCGGCCAAGCGAAAGCAUUAA
rnacentral:rRNA from 1 species